rnacentral:rRNA from 1 species
UACAGAGGGGGCAAGCGUUGUUCGGAAUUACUGGGCGUAAAGGGCGCGUAGGCGGCCUUCUAAGUCGAACGUGAAAUCCCCGGGCUCAACCCGGGAACUGCGUCCGAUACUGGAAGGCUUGAAUCCGGGGAGAGGGAUGCGGAAUUCCAGGUGUAGCGGUGAAAUGCGUAGAUAUCUGGAGGAACACCGGUGGCGAAGGCGGCAUCCUGGACCGGCAUUGACGCUGAGGCGCGAAAGCCAGGGGAGCAAAGCGGGG